UACAGAGGUGGCAAGCGUUGUUCGGAAUUACUGGGCGUAAAGGGCGCGUAGGCGGUUCGUUAAGUCCUGUGUGAAAUCCCCCGGCUCAACUGGGAACUGCACAGGAACUAGUCUGGCUAGAGUCCGGGAGGGGCGAGUGGAAUUCCUGGUGUAGCGGUGAAAUGCGCAGAUAUCAGGAGGAACACCAAUGGCGAAGCAGCUCGCUGGAACGGUACGACGCCUGAGGCGC
rnacentral:rRNA from 1 species